rnacentral:rRNA from 1 species
GGGCCCGCACAAGCGGUGGAGCAUGUGGUUUAAUUCGACGCAACGCGCAGAACCUUACCAGCCCUUGACAUCCCGCGCUCGGCUCAGAGAUGGGCUUUCCCCGCAAGGGGCGCGGAGACAGGUGCUGCAUGGCUGUCGUCAGCUCGUGUCGUGAGAUGUUGGGUUAAGUCCCGCAACGAGCGCAACCCUUGCCUUCAGUUGCCAUCAUUUAGUUGGGCACUCUGGAGGGACUGCCGGCGGCAAGCCGGAGGAAGGUGGGGAUGACGUCAAGUCCUCAUGGCCCUUACGGGCUGGGCUACACACGUGCUACAAUGGUGGCGACAGAGGGCACAAGCGAGAGCGCGAGCUUUAGCAAAUCCUCAAAAGCCAUCUCAGUUCAGAUUGCGCUCUGCAACUCGGGCGCAUGAAGGUGGAAUCGCUAGUAAUCGCAGAACAGCAGGCUGCGGUGAAUACGUUCCCGGGCCUU